CAGCACAGCAAAAUAACAACGCACACAAAACCAUGGCCACCAUUGGUGAACAUUAUAGAGCAAAAGAAAAAUAUCACGGACUAAGCAAUUUAACGGCGGAUUUUUCUUAUCAUUAUCAUGCAACCUCAGUAGGUCGAUCUAAUCGGACGAAUCUCUCAGCGAAAUAUGAUAACAAUUUUUGCGAAGGAGGGUGGUUGAUUUCUAGAUAAAUCAUUCAUCGAUCAUUGCAUACAUGCUUCCGUUCAGCCAAUCAUACGGCUUUCUUAAAAAUCACGUUUC